rnacentral:rRNA from 1 species
UCGGGAAUAUUGCGGCAAUGGAGGAAACUCUGACGCAGUGACGCCGCGUAUAGGAAGAAGGUUUUCGGAUUGUAAACUAUUGUCUGCAGGGAAGAAAAAAGACUGUACCUGCAAAGAAAGCUCCGGCUAACUACGUGCCAGCAGCCGCGGUAAUACGGAGGGUGCAAGCGUUAAUCGGAAUAACUGGGCGUAAAGGGCGUGCAGGCGGUUCAUCAAGUAGGAUGUGAAAUCCCCGGGCUCAACCUGGGAACAGCAUACUAAACUGGUGGACUAGAGUAUUGCAGGGGGAGACGGAAUUCCAGGUGUAGCGGUGGAAUGCGUAGAUAUCUGGAAGAACACCAAAGGCGAAGGCAGUCUCCUGGGCAAAUACUGACGCUCAUAUGCGAAAGCGUGGGUAGCAAACAGGAUUAGAUACCCUGGUA